rnacentral:rRNA from 1 species
AUACGGAGGACGCGAGCGUUAUCCGGAUUCAUUGGGUUUAAAGGGUGCGCAGGCGGCCGUGCAAGUCAGCGGUGAAAGCCCGGGGCUCAACCCCGGAAGUGCCGUUGAUACUGCGUGGCUGGAAUGCGGUCGAGGCGGGCGGAACGUGGCGUGUAGCGGGGAAAUGCGUAGAUAUGCCACAGAAGGCCGAUAGCGGAGGCAGCUCGCCAGGCCUGCAUUGACGCUCGGGCACGAAAGCGUGGGGAUCGAACAGGAUUAGAUACCCUGGUAGUCCACGCCGUAAACGAUGGGCGCUCGUCGUCGGCGGCAGACAGUCGGCGGCCAAGCGAAAGCGAUAAGCGCCCCACCUGGGGAGUGCGGUCGCAAGGCUGAAACUCAAAUGAAUUGGCGGGG